UACAGAGGGUGCGAGCGUUGUCCGGAAUCACUGGGCGUAAAGGGCGCGUAGGCGGCCGCCUAAGUCAGACGUGAAAUCCCUCGGCUCAACCGGGGAACUGCGUCUGAUACUGGGUGGCUUGAAUCCGGGAGAGGGAUGCGGAAUUCCAGGUGUAGCGGUGAAAUGCGUAGAUAUCUGGAGGAACACCGGUGGCGAAGGCGGCAUCCUGGACCGGCAUUGACGCUGAGGCGCGAAAGCCAGGGGAGCAAACGGG
rnacentral:rRNA from 1 species